GAUGAACGCUGGCGGCGUGCUUAGCACAUGCAAGUCGAACGGUGAAGCAGGAGCUUGCUCUUGUGGAUCAGUGGCGAACGGGUGAGUAACACGUGAGCAACCUGCCCCUGACUCUGGGAUAAGCGCUGGAAACGGCGUCUAAUACUGGAUAUGUGAUGUGACCGCAUGGUCUGCAUCAGGAAAGAAUUUCGGUUGGGGAUGGGCUCGCGGCCUAUCAGCUUGUUGGUGAGGUAAUGGCUCACCAAGGCGUCGACGGGUAGCCGGCCUGAGAGGGUGACCGGCCACACUGGGACUGAGACACGGCCCAGACUCCUACGGGAGGCAGCAGUGGGGAAUAUUGCACAAUGGGCGGAAGCCUGAUGCAGCAACGCCGCGUGAGGGAUGACGGCCUUCGGGUUGUAAACCUCUUUUAGCAGGGAAGAAGCGAAAGUGACGGUACCUGCAGAAAAAGCACCGGCUAACUACGUGCCAGCCGCCGCGGUAA
rnacentral:rRNA from 1 species